UAGUGAGUUUGAUCCUGGCUCAGAUUGAACGCUGGCGGCAUGCUUUACACAUGCAAGUCGAACGGUAACAGGUUAAGCUGACGAGUGGCGAACGGGUGAGUAAUGCAUCGGAACGUGCCCGAUCGUGGGGGAUAACGCAGCGAAAGCUACGCUAAUACCGCAUACGAUCUACGGAUGAAAGCGGGGGACUCGUAAGGGCCUCGCGCGAUUGGAGCGGCCGAUAUCAGAUUAGGUUGUUGGUGAGGUAAAACGCUCACCAAGCCUGCGAUCUGUAGCUGGUCUGAGAGGACGACCAGCCACACUGGAACUGAGACACGGUCCAGACUCCGUACGGGAGCAGCAGUGA
rnacentral:rRNA from 1 species